rnacentral:rRNA from 1 species
GCGGCCUAUCAGCUUGUUGGUGAGGUAAUGGCUCACCAAGGCGACGACGGGUAGCCGGCCUGAGAGGGCGACCGGCCACACUGGGACUGAGACACGGCCCAGACUCCUACGGGAGGCAGCAGUGGGGAAUAUUGGGCAAUGGAGGAAACUCUGACCCAGCGACGCCGCGUGCGGGAUGAAGGCCUUCGGGUUGUAAACCGCUUUCAGCAGGGAAGAAGCGAAAGUGACGGUACCUGCAGAAGAAGCACCAGCUAACUAUGUGCCAGCAGCCGCGGUAAUACAUAGGGUGCAAGCGUUGUCCGGAAUUAUUGGGCGUAAAGAGCUCGUAGGUGGUUCGUCACGUCGGAUGUGAAACUCUGGGGCUUAACCCCAGACCUGCAUUCGAUACGGGCGAGCUAGAGUGUGGUAGGGGAGACUGGAAUUCCU